GUGCUCGCUUUGGCAGCACAUAUACUAAAAUUGGAACAAUACAGAGAUUAGCAUGACUCUUACUCAAGGAUGACACGCAGAUUUGUGAAGCAUCCCAUCCCUGG